UCCCUGCUUUCUUUUAGUUUCCAUUUGCAUAGAACAGCUUUUCCCAUCCCGUGACUUUCAGUCUGUGAGUGUCCUUGAACCUGAAGUCAAUCUCUUGUAGACAGCUUAUAGCUUGAAGAACUCCUUUCAUCAUUUCUUGCAAGGCUCAUGAGCUUAGAAGACAUCUCGGCAGCAUGCAUUUCAGCAAGUCAUUUUUAUUUGUUUAUUUCUUAAAUAUGUAAAAAGUUAAUAAACAGAAACCUUAAUUAAAUAAAGUUGGGAGACCGGAAAG